UACGUAGGGUGCGAGCGUUGCCCGGAUUUAUUGGGCGUAAAGCGCGCGCAGGCGGUUCUUUAAGUCUGAUGUGAAAGCCCACGGCUCAACCGUGGAGGGUCAUUGGAAACUGGAGAACUUGAGUACAGAAGAGGAAAGCGGAAUUCCACGUGUAGCGGUGAAAUGCGUAGAGAUGUGGAGGAACACCAGUGGCGAAGGCGGCUUUCUGGUCUGUAACUGACGCUGAGGCGCGAAAGCGUGGGGAGCAAACAGG
rnacentral:rRNA from 1 species